GACGAACGCUGGCGGCGUGCCUAAUACAUGCAAGUUGAGCGAUGAAGAUUGGUGCUUGCACCAAUUUGCAGAGCAGCGAACGGGUGAGUAACGCGUGGGGAAUCUGCCUUUGAGCGGGGGACAACAUUUGGAAACGAAUGCUAAUACCGCAUAACAACUUUAAACAUAAGUUUUAAGUUUGAAAGAUGCAAUUGCAUCACUCAAAGAUGAUCCCGCGUUGUAUUAGCUAGUUGGUGAGGUAAAGGCUCACCAAGGCGAUGAUACAUAGCCGACCUGAGAGGGUGAUCGGCCACAUUGGGACUGAGACACGGCCCAAACUCCUACGGGAGGCAGCAGUAGGGAAUCUUCGGCAAUGGACGAAAGUCUGGCCGAGCAACGCCGCGUGAGUGAAGAAGGGUUUCGGAUCGUAAAACUCGGUUGGUAGAGAAGAACGUUGGUGAGAGUGGAAAGCUCAUCAAGUGACGGUAACUACCCAGAAAGGGACGGCUAACUACGUG
rnacentral:rRNA from 1 species